rnacentral:lncRNA from 1 species
CCUUGGCAUGCUACCUAGGCCACAUUUAUGGAGGGAUAACUGAAGACAACAAAAUUUAAAUAUUAGAUAGCCACGGAUAAUAAAGGUUUCUAGUAAACUAGAACUUCGAUACCAUAUUAACUGAUGCCAAAAGUUUAAAUUGAUGGAGAAAGGGUCAACAAUAUAUUACAAAUAUUAGCAUGAUUGAAUAAUAAGAAAUAAUAGCAAGUUCAAGAAACCUUGACUUCAUGCAAUUAUUACUUUUCUUUUUGCUAUUCUAGUGUUAGAAAAGUUUGCUGUGACCAUAUUUUUUUUUUUCUUUGCUACUAUAUAAUUUUUGUGGCUAGACUCCGGUUAUAG